rnacentral:rRNA from 1 species
ACGAACGCUGGCGGCGUGCUUAACACAUGCAAGUCGAACGGUGAAGCCUAGCUUGCUAGGUGGAUUAGUGGCGAACGGGUGAGUAAUACGUGAGUAACCUACCUUUAACUCUGGGAUAAGCCUGGUAAACUGGGUCUAAUACCGUAUCCGACCAAUCUCCGCAUGGGGUGUUGGUGGAAAGCGUUAUGUAGUGGUUAUAGAUGGGCUCACGGCCUAUCAGCUUGUUGGUGAGGUAACGGCUCACCAAGGCGACGACGGGUAGCCGGCCUGAGAGGGUGACCGGCCACACUGGGACUGAGACACGGCCCAGACUCCUACGGGAGGCAGCAGUGGGGAAUAUUGCACAAUGGGCGCAAGCCUGAUGCAGCGACGCCGCGUGAGGGAUGACGGCCUUCGGGUUGUAAGCCUCUGUUAGCAGGGAAGAAGAGAGAUUGACGGUACCUGCAGAGAAAGCGCCGGCUAACUACGUG